GAUGAACGCUGGCGGCGUGCCUAAUACAUGCAAGUCGAGCGAACAGAUGAGGAGCUUGCUCCUCUGACGUUAGCGGCGGACGGGUGAGUAACACGUGGAUAACCUACCUAUAAGACUGGGAUAACUACGGGAAACCGGAGCUAAUACCGGAUAAUAUAUUGAACCGCAUGGUUCAAUAGUGAAAGACGGUUUUGCUGUCACUUAUAGAUGGAUCCGCGCCGCAUUAGCUAGUUGGUAAGGUAACGGCUUACCAAGGCAACGAUGCGUAGCCGACCUGAGAGGGUGAUCGGCCACACUGGAACUGAGACACGGUCCAGACUCCUACGGGAGGCAGCAGUAGGGAAUCUUCCGCAAUGGGCGAAAGCCUGACGGAGCAACGCCGCGUGAGUGAUGAAGGUCUUCGGAUCGUAAAACUCUGUUAUUAGGGAAGAACAAAUGUGUAAGUAACUAUGCACGUCUUGACGGUACCAAAUCAGAAAGCCACGGCUAACUACGUG
rnacentral:rRNA from 1 species